UACGUAGGGUGCAAGCGUUUAAUCGGAAUUACUGGGACGUAAAGCGUGCGCAGGCGGUGAUGUAAGACAGGUGUCGCAAACUCCCGGGCUUAACCUGGGAACUGCAUUUGGUGACUGCAAUCGCUGGGAGUGCGGGCAAGAUGGGGGAUGGAAUUCCGGCGUGUAGCAGUGAAAUGCGUAGAUAUGCGGAGGAACACCGAGUGGCCGAAG
rnacentral:rRNA from 1 species